UCAGACUCUCCAACAAGCUAUUGAAAAAGCAGAAAGCACCUACUUAUCAAAGCAUCAUCAUCAUCUUUUUCAUUAACAUAACUCUUAUUUUCAUCUGAGCAAUUUUGUAUUUUAAAAUAGUCUUGAGCCAAGAUAAAACAUCUUCAGUAAAAGUGGUUGUGACUAAGGCAUACAGGGAACACCCAGAAGCUCUUUCCUUCCAAAGCUUGGGGCAUCUUAUGAUGUACUUUGUAAAAAAUUUAAUUGAGGGCUUUAAACAAACAGGGAAUUAGAACUGUUUGGUUAGGGUUAGAAGGGAAGAAAGUGAGAAAGCAUAAUAACAUUGGGGAUGUUUUCAUGUCUAAAAGCAAAAGAGUCCAAGUUUCCUACUUAAGUUUUAAUUAUGAUGGGUCAAAAUACAAAUUUCAAAUUUUAAAGCCACCUGAGUCACUUUGAUGUGAUUUUUCUAUGUAUUCCUAGGAUUUUAUUCUCAAUUUCAUCCCAGCCUACCUUUUUUAUUGGCUCAAUUUCUAUCAAUCCCUUCCU
rnacentral:lncRNA from 1 species